rnacentral:lncRNA from 1 species
UAACUGAAUCACUUUAUUGUAUAGCAGAAAUUAAUACAAUCUUGUAAAUCAACUAUACUUCAAGAACAUUUUUAAAAUGAAAAAAAGAAUCAUCUUACUAUCCUGACGACGAUACUAAUAUUGCUACCUUUUACUGCAUGUCGGAUUUUGUAGGACACUUUUUCACAAAUUCUCAGAAAUGUCCUACAAGGCAUUUCAUACUUUUAUUAUACUCAGAUUUAGAAAGUUAAGGAAGGUUCCCAGGAUCACACAGCUGAUCUCACAGGUGACAGAGCUGCGACCCAAACCGAAGUCCACCCUACUCCAAGCUUUUUGCCCUCCACCACAGGGAGUGUUCUGAAAUACCAGCAGUUCCCUGAACAUGCCAUGCCCUUUGUACACUACAUCUUUGGUGCAAUUGCUUUUCCCUCUGCUUUUAAUAGCUCUUCCCUUUCUUUGACUGUCUGGCUGGCUGCUACUGAUUCCCUAAGAUUUGGCUCAAAUAUCAUCUUGGGGUGAAACUCUGAGCAAUUGCAGGUGGAGAGAUAAAGGGAAGAAACAGAACCAGACUAGAAACCAGGAAACUAGAUGAGUCUCCACACCUCUGUCAGCUAAACCUCCCUGUCUAGAAAGUUGGGAUAGUAACCCUACCCACCACCUGGAGUUUCAGGGAGGAUCAAAUGGGACUUUAUAUUUGAAACCACUUUGCAAACUAUAAAGCCCCAUAUAAAUAUAAGUUAUUAUUAAUUGUUCUAUUAAUUAAAUAAUUAAAUCCCAGCUACCAUAAUAAAUCUUUGAAACUGCUGUUAAUGGCUAUUAAUCGAAACGCAUGCUGAUGGUAAUUACGCUAAUUAAAAUUCUCAGGAAUAAUGACAAUUAGUCCUGAUACUGAAAAGUGGUCCAGAGGGCAUGGACCAGCAUGAAACUGGAGAGGAGACAAUGCAAAUGGGAGUUGGCAAAAGGACACAGAAGCUGACCAGUGAACAAGAUGAGCAGAUUAGCCAUGCCCCUCCUGGCUGAGAGCUCUGUUGUGCUAAAGGAAAAGGGCUUCAUAAACACCAAAACCACCACCUCCUGUUAUAUGAACAUUUGGCUUGCAGUGGUCCAUGUGUUUGUCUGUAUACGUACCUCUCUCUGUAGUGAUAUGCUCAGAUUAAGCUUCAUUGUAUUGAAGUGCAUAUGGGUCCAUGACCACGCCAUUCCCUACCACCACUACUCAACACAUCACCAUGUCUUCUGACCAAGUCAAGAUCCUUCAUGGUCCGGUUCAAUGAAGCCUUCCUGGAUUUUUCUUGUAAGACUAGGGGAUCAUUUUGUGCUUCCGUUCACCUUCUGCAAACUCCACCCUGGAAUUUGUAGUCCCAGUUCCAUCACUUACAAGCUGUGUUUCGUCAAGAUGUUUCUUAAAACCUCUUUUAUGCUUCCAUUGCCUCAUCUACUAAGUGAGGACAAUAACAGCAAAGACCAGACAGGAUUGUUCUAAGAAUUAAAUUAGAUAUGUAUGUCUCUUAGAACAGGAUUAGACACAUAGUACUCAAUUAAUGUUCAUCAUUAUAGCUAUUAAUAUUGUAAUUAUUUGUCUGUAUAUCCAUCACUCUGCCAGACUGUGAGCACUUUCUUUUUGUAUCCCUAUGGCCUUGACUUACUGCCUUAUAAGUGCUCCUUUCAUUAUUGAUAUUAAAAUGGAAAUGGAUGGAAAAUGUUCUUAAGAAAACUACAGACAAAACUAAAGGCAGUAGGGUAGAAAAAUCAUUGACUAUGAAAUCAGAUUAGGUUUAAAUCUUGGCUCUACUACUUGCUUAGAUGUUGGCUUUAUGCAAGUCACUUUGCCUUCUAGGACUCAGUUUUUUCACCUAGAAAAUAGAACCAAUAAUCCCUAGCCUAUUUCCUCUCAAGCUCCAUCAUAGGGUUAGAAUAAGGACACAGAUGUGAAACUGCUUUGUAAACUGAAAGGCUCUAAUCAAAUAUAAGAUACUUUGACUAUUAUUAGAACCAUCUGGAAGUUGUUUGGACUUACAAAUUGAUAGAAUCAGUCAACACCUACUUGACUUACACAAAAAGCAGUUAUUAUGCUUGGGUAUUUUUUAAGCCCUUAACCCUAUGGAUAUUCCAAGUCUUUUCUCCAAAUUCACGCCCAAUUUGAAAAUGUCCAAGUUUAUUUUCCCAAAGACUGAGUAACAAUAGGAAUGUAAAAUGUAGCUAAGACUGAAACUUCACUAAAGAUUUCAGUUUCUAUUUCCCUUAAGGGAGUUUCUAGAGCCCUAGCUAAUAGCUGGGUUAUUAAAUGAGCUCAACUCACAGGGUUUCUCGAGGUGUCAGGGAGCUCAACCUCAGAGGUUACUUUAGGAUACCAGGGAGUUUAGAUUAAGAUACCCAGUAAGUGGCAAAAGAAAGAAAGAAAAGAAAAGAAAGGAAGGAAGGGAGGGAGAGAGGAAGGAAGGAAGGAAAGAAGGAAAUAUAUAGAGGGUAAGAACACUGGAAUGAGAGUCAAAAAUUCUAAAUUCUGACCUCGCUCUUCGGCUUUUCAGUUUGAACAUCUUCUCUACCUGGACUUUAGUUUUCUCAGUAAAAUGUAAAUAAUCUCCUCCCAUUUCAUAAACUUUUGCCAUAGAACAAAUCACUCCAAAAACUUAGUGAUAAAAGAUGCAGAGUUGGUUUCUCAUAAUUCUGUGAGCUGGUUAGGCAGGUCUGCUCAUCUUGCCAGGCCCACUCAGGGAGCAGCAUUCAGGUGGUGAGUCAGCAGGGACUUGGGCCCAAUGGACAUAGCUAGGACUCAGCCUCUUUUUUUUUUUUGGUACAGGGUUUUUCAUACUUAAGGAGACAGACUGGGCCUCUUCAUAAGGCAACAGUGUUCCAGGAGAGCGAAAGUGGAAUUGCACAGCUACUAAAGGCAGCCUCACAGCCUACAACCCAUUAUGAAUUAGUGGAUGCAGGCUUGAGCAUCAGUGGCUGCUGACAUCACAGAAACCAAGACAACUAGAUGUUACGCACCUACUGAGGGGGAGCCCAUCACCUAUGAAGCUGUCUUGCUAAAAUGAAAAAAACUGAACUUUAAUCUGAUCAAGGCUGUAGUUACAACCGCCAAGUUUCAGGAAAUACAGGAGACAAAAGAACACGUUAAACUACACCACAGCAGUAAAUCAGCAAAUCCAGACUAGAAAAACACUGUAGAAAAGCAACCUGUUUUUUUUCAAUAAAUAUACUAGGAAAGGGGAAAAAAAAAAAAAAGGCUCAGAAGAAGCACAUGCAUUAGGAGAGACCAAUAAUUAUGUAUAGAAUUGUUGGAUCCUGAUUCAAAUAAUCUAUUUUAAAGAUUAUGACAUUUUUGUAAUUUUGGAAAUUUGUAGAGACAGAACCAUGAAAUUAAGGAAUUAAAGCUAAUCUGAAGUAUGACUUGGUAUUAUAAAUAUGUUUUUUAAAGGCUCCUUAGCUUUUAGAGUACAUAUUAAAAUAUUUAUGUUUUUAAUAUUGUAGCUGAGAUUUGUUAAUAGAGGGUGGGAGUAAGAUGAAGCAAGAAUGUCAAUGAGUUGAUAACAAUUGAAGCUAGGUGAUGAGUACAUGUGCAUUGAUUAUUCAUUCCAGCUACUUUAGUUUGAAAUUCUCCAUAAUACAUUUUUUUUUUUAGGGUUGGACAGGAAGUUAGACAGCUCUGGGCUCAAGUGGCAGCCCCUGUGUCUCCUCUACUUAAUCCUAUGUUCUUGGGAAAUUCAUUUCACCUCUUUGAGCUUCCAUUUCCUUACAAAUAAAGUAGGGGUCAUCUCCCCCCAUUAUUUUCCAGUGAUGCUCUGGGGGCCAAAUGAGUUCAUGAGUGUGAAAGCAUUUUAUAAGCCAUGAAAGGCUACACAUGGGCUCAAAACUGCUUCUGUUACUAUCACUUUUGACCUGAAAAUAAUUUAGAUCUUUUGGGCCCUGUCUCUCUCUUAGUAAUCUCAUCUCUGCAUACUUGGCCUGCUCGCAUGAGAAAUUAGCAGAAUGGGCUCCAAAAACCCUCUGGGCAAUGGCCGUGAGCUUGACAUAGGGUCUAAAGAUAAUUUUUUAAAUAUCAUCUUUUGCCUUUAUCUCAAAUCCAGGUGGGAAGAAUUUCUGCUUCUGGUUUAGAUGGAGUAACAGGAACUGUCCUUAUCCUCCCACUGUAAACAACAGAAAAAAGAAACAGACAAUAUAUCUUAUAUAUAUAGCAUGUAUAUAGUAUAUAUGUAUAUAUUAUUAUACAGUGGUCACUGAGAUGUUGGAAACAAACAAGCUGAGUCCUACAAUGCCUCGACUCACUGCUUUUUUUUUUUUUUUUUUAAGGCAUAUGGAGGUUCCCAGACUAGGGUUCGAGUCAGAGCUGUAGCCACUGGCCUACACCAGGUAUAGCAAUGCCAGAUCCAAGCCGCAUCUGUGACCUACACCACAGCUCACACCAACACCGGAUCCUUAACCCACUGAGUGAGGCCAGGGAUCAAACUUGCCUCCUGAUGGAUACUAGUCAGAUUCGUUUCUGCUGAACCAUGACAGGAACUCCUGAUUCACCGCCUUAAUUAAGAG